UGGGGAAUAUUGGACAAUGGGCGAAAGCCUGAUCCAGCCAUGCCGCGUGUGUGAAGAAGGUCUUCGGAUUGUAAAGCACUUUAAGUUGGGAGGAAGGGCACUAACCUAAUACGUUAGUGUUUUGACGUUACCGACAGAAUAAGCACCGGCUAACUCUGUGCCAGCAGCCGCGGUAAUACAGAGGGUGCAAGCGUUAAUCGGAAUUACUGGGCGUAAAGCGCGCGUAGGUGGUUUGUUAAGUUGGAUGUGAAAUCCCCGGGCUCAACCUGGGAACUGCAUUCAAAACUGACUGACUAGAGUAUUGUAGAGGGUGGUGGAAUUUCCUGUGUAGCGGUGAAAUGCGUAGAUAUAGGAAGGAACACCAGUGGCGAAGGCGACCACCUGGACUAAUACUGACACUGAGGUGCGAAAGCGUGGGGAGCAAACA
rnacentral:rRNA from 1 species